GUUGUCUACAUUUUGGAUAUAAAAUUUCUUUUCCACCAAUAAUUGCCACCCUGUACAAUCAUCUUCCUUUUCCGUUUGACAGUUGAAAUUAGCGCAUAAAAUUUGUAAAAUAUACAUUUGUAAAAAUUUACACCUUUAAUUUUAAUAUAUUAGCAAAAGUCUAUUCAUUAAGAAAUUGCUUAUUAAAAAGUGAAAUAUGUAUUUAGGAAUAUUUUCCGCUUGCUUCGUACUUUGAAAAGUGUGUAUGUAAUGUGCAAGAGCCUGAUUCAAGAUUGAAAUACAGAACUGAGGAAAAAAUUCUAGCAAAAGACUGAAAGCGCUCAUGAUCAAGCAGAAAGUGACUGAAGGAAGUCUACAAAUUUAUAAGAAACUAAGCAAGGAAGAUUUGUUGUUGCCUCGGACGAGCAGUGCGCAGAUAUACCUGCAUAUACUCGUGUAUAUGUACAUAUGUAUAUGUACAUACGUGUACAUAACUAAAUCUUGAUUUAUGGCACGUAUGCUUGACAAAAGAGUAUAUACGCAGGAUCAGCGAUGAUCAACCCUCGGCGUGAAUGCUUUUAAGUUACGUAUGUAUAUGUAUGUAUAUAGAAUGCAUGCCUUUCUUAUGCGUGAAAUUCAAUAUGCCUUUAACGUUUCUUAUUACGUAACUUGAGCACGAUCAGCGUCUUAGCAAGCAACAGGCGCGCAGAUUUGAUUAGAAGUUUGCUCGGAUUUUUGAAAUAAUAAUAUUUUUGUUUUCUUGAAAUACAUACAAACUCAGGCUCAUACAUUUAAGUGUAUAUCCAUAAAAAAAUAUAUAUAUACAUACAUAUGUACAUAUAAUAUUAAUAAAUAGCUGUGCGCUUGGAGAAGGGCAGAUUUUCGACAACUACAA